rnacentral:rRNA from 1 species
UACGAAGGGGGCUAGCGUUGCUCGGAAUUACUGGGCGUAAAGGGCGCGUAGGCGGACAGUUUAGUCAGAGGUGAAAGCCCCAGGGCUCAACCUUGGAAUUGCCUUUGAUACUGGCUGUCUUGAGUUCGGGAGAGGUGAGUGGAAUGCCGAGUGUAGAGGUGAAAUUCGUAGAUAUUCGGCGGAACACCAGUGGCGAAGGCGACUCACUGGCCCGAUACUGACGCUGAGGCGCGAAAGCGUGGGGAGCAAACAGG